AAAACUUAGUUAAAGUAUAACAUUAGUUUGUCAAGCUAAAAUUAUUUAGAUUGUAAUAGUUUUUAA
rnacentral:tRNA from 1 species